rnacentral:rRNA from 1 species
GACGAACGCUGGCGGCGUGCUUAACACAUGCAAGUCGAACGGAAAGGCCCUGCUCUUGUGGGGUGCCCGAGUGGCGAACGGGUGAGUAACACGUGAGUAACCUGCCCUUGACUUUGGGAUAACUUCAGGAAACUGGGGCUAAUACCGGAUAGGAGCUCCUGCUGCAUGGUGGGGGUUGGAAAGUUUCGGCGGUUGGGGAUGGACUCGCGGCUUAUCAGCUUGUUGGUGGGGUAGUGGCUUACCAAGGCUUUGACGGGUAGCCGGCCUGAGAGGGUGACCGGCCACAUUGGGACUGAGGUACGGCCCAGACUCCUACGGGAGGCAGCAGUGGGGAAUAUUGCACAAUGGGCGGAAGCCUGAUGCAGCAACGCCGCGUGCGGGAUGACGGCCUUCGGGUUGUAAACCGCUUUCGCCUGUGACGAAGCGUGAGUGACGGUAAUGGGUAAAGAAGCACCGGCUAACUACGUG